rnacentral:rRNA from 1 species
AUUCCAGCUCCAAUAGCGUAUAUUUUAGUUGUUGCAGUUAAAAAGCUCGUAGUUGAAUUUCUGGUGGGAAGAUGCGGACGGCCUCAUGGCUUGUUCCAAGUCUUCCGGCCAUCCUUGGGUGGAGCUCGUCUGGCAUUAAGUUGUCGGGCGGGGGAUGCCCAUCGUUUACUGUGAAAAAAUUAAAGUGUUCAAAGCAGACUUAUGUCGUUGAAUAUAUUAGCAUGGAAUAAUAAGAUAGGACAGCAGUGCUAUUUUGUUGGUUUGCGCACCGUUGUAAUGAUGAAUAGGGACAGUUGUGGGUAUUUAUAUUCACUUGUAAGAGGUGAAAUUCUUAGAUUAAGGGAAGAUAAACUACUGCGAAAGCAUUUACCAAGGAUGUAUUCAUUA